UUCUGAAUGGGACAGUAAACAAAAAAAAAAAAAUAGAUUUGGGGUGGAAAACGGGAUGAUUUGAUGAUCCGAGAUAGAUUCAGAAUAGAAAGUGACAAAAAUUUUGAUCCGUUCUGAAUCCUCGUCGAAUCCGUCCCACUAUGAUCCUCCCAAAUCUGCCAUGAAAACUGUUUGUAUUUAAAAAAAUACACUUAAAAAAUAAUAUAUUCACAAAGAAGUCUAAAAUACAAAUAAAUUGGUACUCUCAUUUUUCACGUAUUCGAAAUUUCUAAAUUUUUGUUUCAAAUUGUGAUUGAUAUGUUUUAUUUUUGUAAUUGAUGUUGUUAAUUAUAAAUAUAACUUGAUAAUAUUAUCCAUUAUUAUUAAAAAAACUAUCAAUUAAUAUUUUAUAAAAUAUUAAUAAUAUUAUAAUUUAUAAAAAAAAGUAUUUGCUCGCGGGGCGAAUUCGGGGCAACAAACGAGAAGUGGAUUAUGAGGUUGGGGAUUAUGAAAUAUAUUUUUUAAUCCGUCACAGAUUCGAGGCAGAAGACAGGGUGAAAUUUUGAUAGUUAGGGCAAGAGGCAGGGCAUGAAUUCCGUCCCCAGAUCCAUCCCGUUUGCAUCCCUAACGUACGGCUCGUGUUAGGUACUAUCAAAUCACCUUUAGCCACCGUUUAGUUCGGGAUUAAGUAAAAACUUGUUAUUUCAGGGAUAAAGUUAAGUUUAGGGUUAAGGUGGGGUUAGAGUAAUUUUGUGUUUGGUUGAGAAUUGGGUUUAGUUCAGGUAUAGAUAAAAAGUGUUUGGUUGAAAUAGAUGGGAUAAGAAGUAUAGUGGGUAAAAUAGUGUUUUGUUUGGUUGGAGUAGUGGGGUGAGGUGCGAUUAACAAAUCCCAUCCCAAAUAGGUUAUUCCGAAGUAGACCAUUUGGAGUGGGGUUAGCUAACCCCACCAGCCAAAUUAGAUGUUUGAGAAUAAUUUCGGAGUUAAAGGGUUAUUCCACCCCUUAACUCUGAACCAAACGGGUGCUUAGUGAAUCAUUAAAGAGAGAAAUUAUUGAGUACGUAAAAGAAAAAUUAUU
rnacentral:lncRNA from 1 species